rnacentral:rRNA from 1 species
AACGAACGCUGGCGGCGUGGAUUAGGCAUGCAAGUCGUGCGCGAAAGUGGUAGCAAUACCGCGAGUAGAGCGGCGAACUGGUGAGUACAAGGUGACUAACGUGCCCUUGAGUGGGGGAUAACUCGCCGAAAGGCGGGCUAAUACCGCAUGAUCUCAUGGAGACCUCGGUUUUCGUGAGUAAAGCAGUAAUGCGCUCAGGGAUCGGGUCACCUCCCAUUAGCUAGUUGGUAGGGUAAUGGCCUACCAAGGCUACGAUGGGUAGCUGGUCUGAGAGGAUGGUCAGCCACACUGGGACUGAGAUACGGCCCAGACUCCUACGGGAGGCAG